rnacentral:rRNA from 1 species
UACGUAGGGUGCAAGCGUUAAUCGGAAUUACUGGGCGUAAAGCGUGCGCAGGCGGUUUUGUAAGUCUGUUGUGAAAUCCCCGGGCUCAACCUGGGAAUGGCAAUGGAGACUGCAAGGCUAGAGUUUGGCAGAGGGGGGUAGAAUUCCACGUGUAGCAGUGAAAUGCGUAGAGAUGUGGAGGAAUACCGAUGGCGAAGGCAGCCCCCUGGGAUAACACUGACGCUCAUGCACGAAAGCGUGGGGAGCAAACAGG